CAGUGAGCUACCCAUGGGCAGGGUGAAUGUGGGGUAACACCCACUGGAGGCCCGAACCGGUUGGGGUUGAAAACCCAUCGGAUGACCUGUGGGUAGGGGUGAAAGGCCUAUCAAACUGGGGGAUAGCUCGUUCUCUCCGAAAUGUCUUUAGGGACAGCCUCGCGUGAGGUCUGUAGCAGGUAGAGUGACAGUUUGCGACCCUUGGGGAAACCUGGGGGGACGCAGAUUAACUCCGAAUGGCUACAGACUAUUCCGCGGGAGUGAGGGCACUCGGCGCUAAGGUCGGGGCCCGAGAGGGGGACAACCCAGACCCGCCGCUAAGGUCCCGAAGUGACCGCUCAGUCAGUCUAACGAAGUGCUCCCGCUAUGACAGCCAGGAGGUUUGCUUAGAAGCAGCAAUCCUUUAAAGAGUGCGUAACAGCUCACUGGUCGAGCGGGGGUGCGCGGAUAAUAAGCGGGUGUAAGCGGUCCACCGAAGCGCGGGGUCUAUGCGGUAUCGCAUAGGCGGUAGGAGAGCAUUCCCUGUGCGCGGAAGUCGCUCGGAAACGAGCGGUGGAGCGCAGGGAAGAGCAUAUGCCGGCAUGAGUAACGAUAAAGCGGGUGAAAAUCCCGCUGACCGAAAGCCCAAGGGUUCCAGUCCGAUGUUCAUCAGGGCUGGGUUAGUCGGGACCUAAGGCAAACCCGAAAGGGGUAGCUGAUGGGAAGCAGGUCAAUAUUCCUGCACCUAUCUCAGAGAGGGAUGGGGGGACGCUGGAGCGAACCCGCCGCGGCCUGACGGAAUAGGCCGUAGAAGGGAAGUAGGCAUAACCUCGGAUAGGCAAAUCCGUCCGAGGGCCGACACCCGACCGUACCGCGACCCUUCGGGGGAGCGGAUAGUGCGGCGAUAGCAUACAGCCAAGAAAAGCCUCUAACCGCUAAUCUCUGAGAUAGCCCGUACCGGAAACCGACACAGGUGGGCGAGGAGAAUAUCCAAAGGUCCUCGAGUGAUUCGCGGCUAAGGAACUCGGCAAAUUAGCCCCGUAACUUCGGGAGAAGGGGUGCCUCUCUUCGGAGAGGCCGCAGUGAAGAGGCCCAAGCGACUGUUUAACAAAAACACAGGGCUCUGCUAAGCCGAAAGGCUAUGUAUAGGGCCUGAGGCCUGCCCGGUGCCGGACGGUUAAGGGGAGGGGUGCAAGCCCCAAACCGAAGCCCCGGUAAACGGCGGCCGUAACUCUGACGGUCCUAAGGUAGCAACCGCUGCCUGAAUCCGGCUGUAUGCGAGAAAGCCCUUAGAGCCCCAGCUACGAGACUUCCUAAAAAGUCCGUAACAAUGCUGGAGGAUUGGGCAACUCGCAGGAAACCCCUCCAAAGGGGGAUCCUCAGAGACUCUACGCCGGAGGAUUUGGUUACCUUUGCCUAUGGAGCUUUCGCCUGAAUGGGUAGUGGGAUUCACAGAUGGAGAAGGAUGUUUUCACGUCUCCAUCCUCCCAAAUCCCAAAACCGCCUUAGGCUAUCAAGUGCUUCCGGAAUUCGUGGUGGUGCAGCACCGCCGAAGCAUCUCCGUGCUCUAUGCGCUCAAGCGCUUCUUUGGGCAUGGUGUCGUAAGACCUAACCAAGGAGACCGGUAUGCCUUUCGCAUCCGCUCCUUGGAAGGGCUAGAAAAAGUGUGUGAAUUCUUUACUAAGCACCCCCUCAANACGCAGAAACAAGUAGACUUUGUUCGCUUUCGGCGGGUAAUCCACAAGAUAAAAGAGGGGAAGCACCUCAGUGUGGAGGGUCUUUUAGAGAUUAUUGACAUAGCGAUGCGGAUGAAUUCGCAGCGGCGUCAAGCUUUAGAGAAGAUUCGGGCGGAGCUCCUAGGAAAGGGCAGUGGACCGAAGCCAAAUCCAAGAUAGAGUCCACCCUAUGCUGAAAGGCAUAGAGUUGGGUGAGCGAAAUUCCUUGUCGGGUAAGUUCCGACCUGCACGAAUGGCAUAACGACUUGGGCACUGUCUCGGCCGCGAGCUCGGUGAAAUUGUAGUACCGGUGAAGAUGCCGGUUACCCGCGACGGGACGAAAAGACCCCGUGAACCUUCACUACAGCUUGGUAUUGGCCGCGUGCAUCGGAUGCGUAGCAUAGGUGGGAGGCUGAGAAGCCCUGGCUCCGGUCAGGGUGGAGCCGCCAGUGAAAUACCACCCUUCUGGUGUAUGCGGCCUAACCCUGCACCGCAGGGGACAGUGCCUGGCGGGUAGUUUGACUGGGGUGGUCGCCUCCAAAAGCGUAUCGGAGGCUCCCAAAGGUACCCUCAGCACGCUUGGCAACCGUGCGUAGAGUGCAAUGGCACAAGGGUGCUUGACUGCGAGACCGACGGGUCGAGCAGAGGCGAAAGCCGGGCAUAGUGAUCCGGUGGUUCCUCAAGGGAGGGCCAUCGCUCAAAGGAUAAAAGGUACUCCGGGGAUAACAGGCUGAUCUCCCCCGAGAGCCCCCAUCGACGGGGAGGUUUGGCACCUCGAUGUCGGCUCGUCACAUCCUGGGGCUGCAGGCGGUCCCAAGGGUUGGGCUGUUCGCCCAUUAAAGUGGCACGUGAGCUGGGUUCAGAACGUCGCAAGACAGUUCGGUCUCUAUCUGUCGCGGGCGUAGGACGCUUGAGGGGACCCGCCCUUAGUACGAGAGGACCGGGGUGGACGCACCGCUGGCGUACCAGCUGUUCCGCCAGGAGCACCGCUGGGUAGCUAUGUGCGGACGAGAUAAGCGCUGAAAGCAUCUAAGCGCGCCGCUCACCCCAAGAUUAGGCGUCCCUUAAGGGCCGUGGUAGACUACCACGUCGAUAGGCGGCAGGUGUAAGCAGGGUAACCUGUUGAGCCGAGCCGUACUAAUGCCCGUCAAUAUCCGAUA
rnacentral:rRNA from 1 species